UUAAAAUAAAGAACAUGGAGGUGAAACGGCCCUAACACUCCCUUUGUAGUGGAGAGCGGUUUUUUUUUAUAGCUUGGAUAUCAACAUCGUAAUAUUAGCAUCGUGGUAAUAAUAAGAAAUAUCGCAAAGCAAAAAUACUUUUCCCAGUAACGAGCAUGUCGACAGCAUUAGUGCUUUGAACAAACGAAAAGGGAUUCUUUUCUUGAGUAUUGCGGACAUAAAAGUAGCCGAUAGUCUAUGUGUGUGGUGUGCCAAAAGGGCUGCGGUAUUUCAGCCGUCCACCCAUACAUAACUAUACCGAAACCGGUUCGUAAUAAGUUAGAAGCACUCGCCUCAGAAGUGCUAGCCCAUGCGGCUUAUACACCAAGCUCGAUUCCUACCGUUUAUCACUUAUUUGCAUCGAUGGGGCACGAACUUGUUGAGCAGCGUUCAAUCUGUUACAAAAAUCUACAAAACUGAAGCAGCGAUAGCUUGUGUUAAAACAACAAGUGUGUUUUUGGUAGAGCAUCAACCAAUUGCCAGAAAGUUGGGAAAAAUGUCUAGCUAGCCAUGGGCGUACUACUUUGAAUUUACAUAUUUAUUUUCCGCACGAGCUUUCCGGUUUCGUAAAUACAUAAUUGACAUUUCUUCGAAAAUAAAAGAGCAGUCUUUCGAACUGCUAUAAAGGAAUGGUUUACACGAUUAAGUUUCAUAGAAGUGGCAACUUUCUGCAAGGCUUUGUGAAAUUUUGAGACUAAAAACUUUAAAUAUUUCGUUUCUAAGUCUGAAAAAUUAAAUUAAAGGGAAGUGACUCAUCUGUAAUCGACAGGCUAAUCAAUAUGUAACCGAUGGUAUGGACGAAGAAGGACAAAAACUAUAAAAUUGACAAAAGCCCCCCGCAAUACUCAUGAUGACGGUGGCAGACAGAGAAAGUACUUUUUGCUAAGCCUUAAGUUUUCUAUUGGAACACAGUUCUUCAACUUUGUACUUCAACUUGAAUUGGAGACAUUCGGUAGUGAAAUUGCAUGUAUGAGUGUGUUUGCGGGCGCGCGGAAAGAGAAAAGUGGUAUGUGGUAAGCAAGCAACAAAUAUACAUUGAAAAGAGUAAAUAUUUGCUAUAGACGACUGAAGCUGAUGGAACAUUAACGCACAACCAUAUUAUACCACGCAGCCUCAAACCCAGCCAACCCCAUAGCAUAUAGCAACUGCGAACCGGCAACUGCGAACCGGCAACAGCCGUGGAAACAACAAUAAGAAAAAAACUAGCAAACAUUUGUGGUGGCACGGUAGCACACAAGCAAAUGUGGCGUAGCGCUAUAUUGCAUCGCCUUUGCUUUUAUCGAAUGCAUUCGCCUUUGCUGGCAAACUAAGAUAAGAAGGCAUAGUUUUACUUUUAUAGUGGCAAACUUAUACAUACUGUAAACUAACCAGCCAAGCAGCCAACUUGUAUGCAUACAUAGCCGAACACAAAUACAAAUAAAAAGUCGACAAAGAAAAUAUUGAGCUCUUUGAAAAUAAAAUCGAAAAUACUUUCAUUGCUCAAGCCUGUCAUGCAACAACAUCGUAAUCAAUUGGUUGAACGAAUUAAUUAAUUAAUUGUUUCCGACAAUAUAUCGUAAUUUCCUGUCUAUAAGGCAUCUAUGUUUUCAACUUACACGAUGAAUGCUUCAAGACGUCUCAAUUUAAUUCUCGGAAUUUCUAGCGACUUCAUACACUGUGCAUUUCCCCUGAGAGAUGCAGUUGUUUUCAGAGUCAAGACAUAUGAUUUGGAGACUCAUAGUUUAGUUUCCGAAAGUGCUGAUGUAUGCUUGAAGAGGGAUAUGGCACACGUCCUACUUCGAAAAUGUUGGAUCGAAUCGAAGGAGACAUCACAAGCCUGACGCCAAUUUUUAUCGAUAAUAUCUAAGCGCGGGUUUUAGAUCGUUUUAGACGUGCAGUCGUUUAAGUUGUUCACAUCUUACUGCCUGAACUGUGGAAGGAUUUUGUGAUGCCUUUGUAAUCGUAAUAAAUUCUCAAGAAAAUUCUAUUCCAAUAGGUCUUCGUCAUAAUGUUCGAGCAAGUCCCCAUCUUGCGGCCUACUUUUCACUUUUUCACUAAAUAAACGGCUCGAGUCCAGCAAGCGUCACUAGGAAUUAAUGGAAGUUAAAGGAAGUUAAAACUGGUAAACUCAUUUUCAUUCUUUUGAAAGCCAUUGAGACGCUCGUAUCAUCUUGGAGGCUGACAUUGUCAAAAUGAUUCGGCAAUGACUGCUAACAGAUGUUCAGCUCUUUCUGUUGCCUAUAAGGCGCAACAAGAGGCAUUUGUCUCAUAAGGAGCAGUGUUGCGUGUGCCGAAACAAUUGAACUCUGUAUAAUGCUUGAAAUGAAAUUGAACUUGUAGAGCAUUUAUGGCAAAUAACAAUACCUUCGCGAAUAUAUUACUUCUGAGACAAGGAAUAUUAAAGGGUUUCUUUGUAUAUUUACUGACUUCCAGCGCUAAUCGUCGUCAAAUAAGUUUCAGCGUGAUCUGCUAAAUUUUAUCAAGAUUACCGUUUAAUGUAGGCUUAAAACUUUUUAGACUAUCUUAUAUAAUGUAUGGAUAAACAAAAAACGCAUAUAUAGGAAACGUUACGUUUUUAUGCAACGAACAGAGACAUACAGUUUAAUAUUGUCUUUAGCUGUUGAGGUAAAUUAAAUU